AUUGAACGCUGGCGGCAGGCCUAACACAUGCAAGUCGAGCGGAUGAAGGGAGCUUGCUCCUGGAUUCAGCGGCGGACGGGUGAGUAAUGCCUAGGAAUCUGCCUGGUAGUGGGGGAUAACGUCCGGAAACGGGCGCUAAUACCGCAUACGUCCUGAGGGAGAAAGUGGGGGAUCUUCGGACCUCACGCUAUCAGAUGAGCCUAGGUCGGAUUAGCUAGUUGGUGGGGUAAAGGCCUACCAAGGCGACGAUCCGUAGCUGGUCUGAGAGGAUGAUCAGUCACACUGGAACUGAGACACGGUCCAGACUCCUACGGGAGGCAGCAGUGGGGAAUAUUGGACAAUGGGCGAAAGCCUGAUCCAGCCAUGCCGCGUGUGUGAAGAAGGUCUUCGGAUUGUAAAGCACUUUAAGUUGGGAAGAAGAGCAGUAAGUUAAUACCUUGCUGUUUUGACGGUACCAACAGAAUAAGCACCGGCUAACUUCGUG
rnacentral:rRNA from 1 species